UAGUCUGGCGCUCUUUGGGGUCUCCGGUUUCCUCCCAGUCGCGCAUCCAGUGGGGGCCUAAAAGCUCAAGAGUGUCACAGCUUCCCCUCCCGGGAUCUAAGGUCCUAACUAAGGGAAUCCCCUCACCUCUCCCCACUGGGGCGCAGUCUGACGUGCUCGCUGCUCAGAGCACGCACACAGCUACCGGUUAAUUUAAUUUCUUCUAUUUUUAAUGAAAUGAGUGUCCUCUGUCAGGGUCCACAUCUGUACUGGUGGAAUUAGGUUGAAGUCUUUCAUGGAACUACCCUCCGGGUUCUGCAGUCACAGGAGCCCCUGGCACUCGCCUUUCCCAGGGACAGAUGCUGAGCUCCACUUCAUCGGAAUGCUAAGUGUCCACAGCAUUGCUUUAAGGCUGCCAUCAGAAGUUGUGGCCCAGGUUAAAGUUGGAUCCUCCUACCUUAAGAAAUCCAGAGAAGGGGCUGGUGAGAUGGCUCAGCAGGCAUGGGGCCAAGUGGCUUAAGAGAGACGACCAUCACACAGAAGCCUAGAGCCAUAAUAAUGAUGGGUUUAGCUACUUCAUCUACCACACUUCCUGUUGACUCCUUUCUUCCUGUGCUCUGGUGCUGGAACUCUACUGGCCCAGUAGAGAGUCAAAGUCUUAGCUUGGAGAUGGCAGAGAUGAUGGACAUGAUGGAGAUGGAGAUGACAGAGAAAACAUACUUCAGCAUUGAUGAGUAUCUGCUGAAGGAAGGCAUGCUGGGGAGACUAAUGAAACCACUCAGAUGAUAUAAAGUCGCCUUGAAGAUGGAUCUCUGAGCAUUCUUAUGAGGAGACGAUCUUGACUGAGUUGACUGAAGUGGCAAGACCUGACCACUGGGGAUGACAUCAUCCCUUGGGAUGAGAACUAGGAUCUACAUAAAGAGGGAAGUGAGCUGCACUCAGAAAUCCAUGGCCCUCUGAACCCUAAGGAUGGAUGCCACGUGACCAGCUACUCUAAGCACUGGCUGCUCCAACUCCUCUGCCUUCGUGGACAAGACCCUUGCACUGUGAGCUGAAAUAACCCUCAUCUCCCUCGACUGCUUUUGUCAACUGCUUUUGUUUUAUCAAAGCAACAGGAAAAGAAAGUAGCAUGGCAUUCAAUUUAUCAGCAGUAAAUGUUACUGGUAAUUGUACUUUCUUUUUUCAUUUCUGGAUAUCAAGUCUAAGUACUCACCCGUUCUAAAUAAGCCAUCUUCUUCCAAGUUACCGUCCCUUGCCUGACAUUUUUAUGAAACAUUUCUAUGGCAUUUUCCCCCAUAGCCCAAUGUUUCUAUUUAAGGUUUUAUUUAAGUAUUUCCUUUAAGGUUCAACUUUCCCUCUACCAUUUUGGUUUUUUUUUCCUCCAAAAUGGCCCUUUGUUUUCUUUUUUCACAUUCUUUUCUUCCUAUGCCCAGCUGUACGCAAAUGAUACAAGCAUUCGUGUUUCUAUUUGAAUGUCUUAUCUGAGUUCCAAUGUCAAUAUCUGAAGGGCUGCAUUAUAUCCUUUGAACAUUUCAGUGAUAAGUCACAUGCGGUAUGCCCAAAAAAGAUCUCGUGUCACACCCCCCCCCCACCUCCCUCAUCUAAUCUGCUUGUCUUUGGACUCCUUUCCAGUAAAUUAUAGCAUGAUACUUUCAUUAUUUUACUUUCAAGUGUUGCAUUUGUGUAAUUUCUCUUCUCUAUACGACCUGCAUCUAGCCAUGAUCUCUCUUUGUUACAUCUUCUCUCUUUUUCUCUUGUCUGUUCACCAUUUCAUCCCAAGCAAUUAGUUUUAGUAAAAUAUUGACAAGCCAAUGCUUUCAGACAAUUCUUAGGAAAACAGGAGAAAAAAGUAUUAUAAUCACAACACUUGGCAGACUGAGUCAGGAUGUUUAUCAGGAGUCCAAGGCCAGUGUAGGCUUCAGAGUGAGACUGUGUCCAAAGAUAAAAUAAGGAUCUAGAUAGAUGGCUCAGGGAGUAAGAAUACAGGUUUCUCUUAGAGAGGGUCUGUUAUGUCCCAGCAUGUUCAUGAUAGCUUGUAACCAUCCAUAAUUUCAGUGCUGGGAAGUGAUCCCAGGUUCUUCUGCGAGAUCAGCAAGUGAUCUUAACAACUGAGCAAACUACCCACACCCAUUGUUACCAUUAAUUUAUUUACCAAAUGAAGAAUUUAUAUCCUUUAGGUAUCUGUAUAAAAAAAUUCAAGAAUCUUAAUUGUAACUCCUAUGUCAUUAGAGAGGUUUUCCUUUUUAUCCUCUUUUAAAGGAUACACUUAUUUUUAAUGUAUUGUACGUAUGAGUGCCUGCAUGUAUGUAUAUACACCAUAUGUCGGUCAGAUACCUGAGGAAGCCAGAAGAGCAUACCAGGUCCCCUGGAGCUGGAAUCACAAACAAUCCUGUUAGCAUGUAGGUGCUGAGAACCAAACCCAGGUUCUCUCAAAAGCAAUAAGCACUCUUACUGAAUGAAGCAUCUGUUUAGCCCCUGUUUGUCUUCUUAAGGGUCCCAUGGCAGUUGCACUGUAUGCUUAUUAUGUGACUAUGUAUGCAAGGAACAUCUCUACAACUAGAAUGCAUGCUUCAUCAAAAAGACCCUCCUGUAGAACCUUAUGUUUGAAAGCUACAUCUGCUGUAAGACCAUUAGAGAAGAGAAGACUCACUUCAGUUCAAUGGUUUGUAUUCAGAAGUCCAGGAUUGAGAAAUAAGUAAACAAUGGUGGCCUUUAAAGAGAUAGAGAGUGUUUUCCACAGUGCUGUAUAUUCCACCAUAGUCAUCUUGUAUUGUAUUAAUCAGAAUCAAGAAUUUAUGACUGAGAAGCACGUCAUUGCCAUAAUUGCACUAACUGUAAAGACAAUUUUAGUGACAUGACACUGUCACAGACAAAGCAAACCCACAGAUAUAGUAUAGUAGAUUACGAAGCUUCCGGCAGACUUAGAUUGGAGUCUGACUCUCUGGUAGUCUUUAGCUUAGGG
ensembl:processed_transcript Ptgs2os prostaglandin-endoperoxide synthase 2, opposite strand